rnacentral:rRNA from 1 species
AGAGUUUGAUCAUGGCUCAGAACGAACGCUGGCGGCAUGCCUAACACAUGCAAGUCGAACGUGAUCCGGGCUUCGGCCCGGUGAAAGUGGCAGACGGGUGAGUAACGCGUGGGAACCUGCCCGAUGGUAGGGAAUAACUGCGGGAAACUGCAGCUAAUACCCUAUGACCCCUGAGGGGGAAAGAUUUAUCGCCAUCGGAGGGGCCCGCGUCGGAUUAGGUAGUUGGUGGGGUAACGGCCUACCAAGCCUUCGAUCCGUAGCUGGUCUGAGAGGAUGAUCAGCCACACUGGGACUGAGAUACGGCCCAGACUCCUACGGGAGGCAGCAGUGGGGAAUAUUGGACAAUGGGGGCAACCCUGAUCCAGCAAUGCCGCGUGGGUGAUGAAGGCCUUCGGGUUGUAAAGCCCUUUCGGCGGGGAAGAUGAUGACGGUACCCGCAGAAGAAGCCCCGGCUAACUUCGUGCCAGCAGCCGCGGUAAUACGAAGGGGGCUAGCGUUGUUCGGAAUUACUGGGCGUAAAGGGCGCGUAGGCUGUGCUGUAAGUCAGGCGUGAAAGGCCCGGGCUCAACCUGGGAACUGCGCUUGAUACUGCGGCGCUUGAAGACGGGAGAGGAUGGCGGAAUUCCCAGUGUAGAGGUGAAAUUCGUAGAUAUUGGGAAGAACACCGGUGGCGAAGGCGGCCAUCUGGCCCGUUAUUGACGCUGAGGCGCGAAAGCGUGGGGAGCAAACAGGAUUAGAUACCCUAGUAGUCC